UUGACGGUGAUUGUUCCCCCCAGUACAGCCAGAUCUGCUACUAUGAGAUUCUCACACCCAACACCCCUUUCCUCAUUGACAAUGACGGGAACAUUGAGAACACAGAGAAGCUGCAGUACAGUGGUGAGAGGCUCUAUAAGUUUACAGUGACGGCUUAUGACUGUGGGAAGAAGCGGGCAGCAGAUGAUGCUGAGGUGGAGAUUCAGGUGAAGCCCACCUGUAAACCCAGCUGGCAAGGCUGGAACAAAAGGAUCGAAUAUGCACCAGGUGCUGGGAGCUUGGCUUUGUUCCCUGGUAUCCGCCUGGAGACCUGUGAUGAACCACUCUGGAACAUUCAGGCCACCAUAGAGCUGCAGACCAGCCAUGUGGCCAAGGGCUGCGACCGUGACAACUACUCAGAGCGGGCGCUGCGGAAACUCUGCGGUGCUGCCACUGGGGAGGUGGAUCUGUUGCCCAUGCCUGGCCCCAAUGCCAACUGGACAGCAGGACUCUCGGUGCACUACAGCCAGGACAGCAGCCUGAUCUACUGGUUCAACGGCACCCAGGCAGUGCAGGUGCCCCUGGGUGGCCCCAGUGGGCUGGGCUCUGGGCCCCAGGACAGCCUCAGUGACCACUUCACCCUGUCCUUCUGGAUGAAGCAUGGCGUAACUCCUAACAAGGGCAAGAAGGAAGAGGAAACCAUCGUAUGUAACACUGUCCAGAAUGGUGAGCCUCCCCUCCAGGCACUAGCCAGAGGGAAACUGGCUUCUUGUCCUGCCUCUGUCACUGCCCAGUGUGUGACUGUGAACAGGUCACUUCCCCUCUCUUCAUUUGUGAGGUGCAAGUGCCAGGUGUGAUAUGCCUUGAUUCUGUGCUUUAUCCCCAACAUGACAUGUUGGAUUGUACUGCUGUCAGAGUGCAAUGGGAUU
rnacentral:sRNA from 1 species